rnacentral:rRNA from 2 species
CGGCAAUGGAGGAAACUCUGACCGAGCAACGCCGCGUGAAUGACGAAGUACUUCGGUAUGUAAAGUUCUUUUAUCAAGGAAGAAAAGCAAAUGGCGAACCAUUUGUUUGCCGGUACUUGAUGAAUAAGCCCCGGCUAAUUAUGUGCCAGCAGCCGCGGUAAGACAUAAGGGGCAAGUGUUAUCCGGAAUUAUUGGGCGUAAAGGGUGCGUAGGCGGUCUAGUAAGUCAGUGGUGUAAUGGCAACGCUUAACGUUGUCCGGCUAUUGAAACUGCUAAACUUGAGUUAGAUAGAGGCGAGUGGAGUUCCAUGUGUAGCGGUAAAAUGCGUAAAUAUAUGGAGGAACACCAGAGGCGUAGGCGGCUCGCUGGGUCUUAACUGACGCUGAGGCACGAAAGCGUGGGGAGCAAACAGGAUUAGAUACCCUGGUAGUCCACGCCGUAAACGAUGAGUACUAAGUGUCGGGUUAAACCGGUACUGAAGUUAACACAUUAAGUACUCCGCCUGAGUAGUACGUACGCAAGUAUGAAACUUAAAGGAAUUGACGGGACUCCGCACAAGCGGUGGAUCAUGUUGUUUAAUUCGAAGAUACCCGAAAAACCUUACCAGGUCUUGACAUGUUUGUGCAAAAUGAUAGUAAUAUCGUGGAGGUUACCAGAAACACAGGUGGUGCAUGGUUGUCGUCAGCUCGUGUCGUGAGAUGUUAGGUUAAGUCCUAAAACGAGCGAAACCCUUAUCGUUAGUUGCCAGCACGUUAUGGUGGGGACUUUAACGAGACUGCCAAUGAUAAAUUGGAGGAAGGUGAGGAUCACGUCAAAUCAGCAUGCCCCUUAUGACCUGGGCUACAAACGUGAUACAAUGGCUGUUACAAAGGGUAGCUGAA